rnacentral:rRNA from 1 species
UACGAAGGGGCUAGCGUUGCUCGGAAUCACUGGGCGUAAAGCGCACGUAGGCGGACUCUUAAGUCGGGGUGAAAGCCCAGGGCUCAACCCUGGAAUUGCCUUCGAUACUGGGAGUCUUGAGUAUGGCAGAGGUUGGUGGAACUGCGAGUGUAGAGGUGAAAUUCGUAGAUAUUCGCAAGAACACCAGUGGCGAAGGCGGCCAACUGGGCCAUUACGUGACGCUGAGGUGCGAAAGCGUGGGGAGCAACAGGGAUUAAGAAA